rnacentral:rRNA from 1 species
AUGCCGACUGCCAGAGCUCGACCCACCAUGGCCAUCGUCCUCCUCACCAUGCUCUUGGCCUCCCACACCGCAUCAUGCCUGGUUCGACACGGCGUUGUCGGCUGCCAGCCCAGCGGCAACCUCCUGGGCAGGUCCGGGAACUGCGAGACGAGCAACAGCCCGGACUGUUGUGUCGACGGCAAGCAGUACCUGCAAUUCCUCUGCUCGCCACCCGUCUCCUUGGUCACGUGUGCCGUCCUCACAGUCAACGGCUUCAGCAAGGGCAAGGACGGUGGCCUCCCGUCCGAGUGCGACAGCACGUAGCACGACGACUCGGAGAUGGUCAUCGUGCUCUCCAUCGACUGGUUCAGCGGCAUGUCCCGCUGCAGCCGCAGCAUCAAGAUUACUGUGAAGGGUGGCAGCUCGGUGUACGCCAAGGUGGUGGACGAGUGCGACUCCGUCGAUGGUUGUGACGCGGAGCACAACUACGAGGAGCCAUGUGCCUACAACGUCGUGGACGCCUCGCCGGCGGUGUGGGACGCCCUGGGCCUCGACCAGAACAUCGGUUUGCAGGAUGUUAUCUGGUCUGAUGAAUGA